rnacentral:rRNA from 1 species
UCGUAACAAGGUCUCCGUUGGUGAACCAGCGGAGGGAUCAUUACUGAGUUUACGCUCUACAACCCUUUGUGAACAUACCUAUAACUGUUGCUUCGGCGGGCAGGGUCUCCGUGACCCUCCCGGCCUCCCGCCCCCGGGCGGGUCGGCGCCCGCCGGAGGAUAACCAAACUCUGAUUUAACGACGUUUCUUCUGAGUGGUACAAGCAAAUAAUCAAAACUUUUAACAACGGAUCUCUUGGUUCUGGCAUCGAUGAAGAACGCAGCGAAAUGCGAUAAGUAAUGUGAAUUGCAGAAUUCAGUGAAUCAUCGAAUCUUUGAACGCACAUUGCGCCCGCCAGCAUUCUGGCGGGCAUGCCUGUUCGAGCGUCAUUUCAACCCUCAAGCUCUGCUUGGUGUUGGGGCCCUACGGCUGACGUAGGCCCUCAAAGGUAGUGGCGGACCCUCCCGGAGCCUCCUUUGCGUAGUAACUUUACGUCUCGCACUGGGAUCCGGAGGGACUCUUGCCGUAAAACCCCCAAUUUUCCAAAGGUUGACCUCGGAUCAGGUAGGAAUACCCGCUGAACUUAAGCAUAUCAA